rnacentral:rRNA from 1 species
UAAGGAAUAUUGGUCAAUGGACGCAAGUCUGAACCAGCCAUGCCGCGUGGAGGAUGAAGGUCCUCUGGAUUGUAAACUUCUUUUAUCUGGGACGAAACACUUCUUUUCUAAGAGGCCUGACGGUACCAGAUGAAUAAGCACCGGCUAACUCCGUGCCAGCAGCCGCGGUAAUACGGAGGGUGCAAGCGUUAUCCGGAUUCACUGGGUUUAAAGGGUGCGUAGGUGGGUAUGUAAGUCAGUGGUGAAAUCCCCGAGCUUAACUUGGGAACUGCCAUUGAUACUAUAUAUCUUGAAUACCGUAGAGNUAAGCGGAAUAUGUCAUGUAGCGGUGAAAUGCUUAGAUAUGACAUGGAACACCAAUUGCGAAGGCAGCUUACUAUGCGGUGAUUGACACUGAGGCACGAAAGCGUGGGUGGCAAACA